UCUUACCAUUGGUAUAUGAUCCGGCUAGCAUCUCUGCAUACUGGGGGAAACGGCCUCGUGCUGUUGCUACUCGUAUUAUACAGUUACUAUCUGUUGCUGGGGGUUUCCUCUCACGUUUGGCUAUGGAUGUUAUAAACAAGAAGGUCAAAGAGAAUGAAGUGUCUAGAGCUAUUGAAUUAAGGGAAAUCGUUACCUCAUUGGGCCCUGCGUAUAUAAAGCUUGGGCAAGCAUUAAGCAUUCGACCAGAUAUCCUUUCUCCUGUUGCAAUGACUGAGCUGCAAAAGCUUUGUGAUAAGGUUCCUUCAUUUCCUGAUGACAUAGCAAUGGCUCUUCUUGAAUAGGAACUUGGUCAGCCAUGGCAAGAAAUCUACUCUGAACUUUCCUCUUCGCCAAUAGCUGCUGCAUCUCUGGGACAAGUGUAUAAAGGACGCUUGAAAGAGAAUGGAGAUCUUGUGGCUGUCAAAGUGCAGAGGCCUUUUGUUCUUGAGACAGUGACUGUUGACUUGUUCAUCAUAAGAAACUUGGGUUUGGCACUCCGAAAGUUUCCUCAGAUCUCUAUAGACGUGGUUGGAUUGGUUGACGAAUGGGCUGCACGAUUUUUUGAGGAGCUAGACUAUGUUAAUGAGGGUGAAAAUGGACAACUCUUUUCUGAAAUGAUGCGAAAAGAUCUUCCACAGGUUAGUAUGGUAUUUCUUUAAGGUAUUACUUUAUGAUGUCUGCUGAAGUAGCUC